rnacentral:rRNA from 1 species
AGUGAACGCUGGCGGUAUGCCUAACACAUGCAAGUCGAACGGCCACACAGUAAGAUCUUGCUCUUACGGUUGGCGGCUGGCGGACGGGUGAGGAAUACAUCGCCAUCUUCUUUUUCGGGGGGGAUAACGUAGGGACACUGACACUAAUACCGCAUACGUCCUACGGGUGGAAGCAAUAGAUCUUCAGACUUUUCGCGAUUGAUUUAGCCGAUGCCGCAUUACCUAGUUGGGGGGGUAACGGCCCACCAAGGCAACGAACCGUAGCCGGGCUGAGAGGAUGAUCGGCCACACUGGAACUGAGACACGGUCCAGACUCCUACGGGAGGCAGCAGUAGGGAAUCUUCGGCAAUGGGCGAAAGCCUGACGCAGCAACGCCGCGUGGGUGAAGAAGGUCUUCGGGUUGUAAAGCCCUGUUGUUGGGAAAGAAAAGAAGUAGGAUAAACCAUGGCCGUCUUGACGGUACCUAAAGAAAAAGCAACGGCUAACUUCGUG